CUUAUUUUAGGUCUCGCUAGGCGAACCAUUCUGCUCGCCUAGCGAGCAUGACAACUCAGGAACAUCUUUCCAAAUUUGGUAACCUGUGCACUGGACCUUUGUUCCUUCAAGAUUAAUGUUUUGGAUGAUGAAUAGACCCCAUUUGAACAUGUUGGAAGUAUCUCAAGUCAUUCCCUAGCCAUUUGACCCUCAGUUGACCAACAGUUGA
rnacentral:lncRNA from 1 species